CUAGAAGACCGAAGGGUUUGACCAGAUGAUCACAAAGGGACCUCCCAGCUCUGGCCUCCAAGAACUUGUAAACCUUAGAGCUUCUGGUAUGACGGGUGGAGCCAGAUCCAGACCAUUGACUCUGGUCUGUCUGCCUCCAGAGGUGAUUCACCGAGCCCCAGAGGUAGCAGGGCCAUGGAGAGCUCCUAACCCACCCCUUCCCAGGACCUUCUUGGGCCGCUGGAGGGUCAUCUGAUGUCAAGCUGCAGCCAUAGCUAGCGUGAGCUCCUUGACCAUAGGGCUCGAGUAUUCUAGAAGACCAAGUUUGGAUUUGCUAUGACAGGGCUUUGGGUACCUCACAGCUCCCUGUGGAGGCAGACCCCCUAAGAUUCACCUUAUACCCAAGCAAAUAUAUUGCUUAGCAGGGCAAGUGGAUCUCUCCUCCAUCCCUGCUCCCUUUUAUCUCUGUCUCAUACUUGCCUGAAAAAGGAGACAACAAAAUAUUAUGGGUACUCCACCCUUUUCAGUCCAGCCCCUCCUGGGGUGGGCUGGGUAACCAUUAUCCAUGGCGAGAGUACCUAGUUCACAAGCCUGGCACUGCACCCCAGCCCUUCCCCUUCUGAAUCUCAUGAAGCUGCAAUUCUAGGGAGCACUGCCCCAUGUCAGGCCCAAGUCAGCUUGUGGCAGCCAUACUUUCCUGGCCAGCUCUGGGGUCCUAGCUGUGGGUGCCCCCGGCAUCCAGCCCCUACCAGAGCUUGCUGGCAGUUCACACCUCAUUGGACAGCUGAAGAGUUGACGAAGGGCUGGAACACAUGCCAAGCAUAUGCCCUCCAGUGUCUUCCUCUGGAACAUUUAAGGCUGGUAUGAGACCCUUUAGGAUUUGGGGGAUCACUCCCCUACAGACCAGCUUCUUCCUCCAUCCCUCACCUGUGCACACAAAAGAUUUGUCAGCCUGGUUCCUGGCUUCUUCACCUCAACACCACACUCACCCUUUUGGGUUUAUCCCAGUGUUUGACUGAAAUUUCUCCAGCCGCGGGAAGUAUCAUAGCCCCAUCUAGACUUUUGCUCUUUGGGCCCAGGGCUGCAGAAGGGCAGCCCCUGUCCCCAGGAAGCUCCUGGUCAGGUGAAAGUUCUAAGGGGAAAGAAUGGGGGCCAUUGCAUUCAGGGCUCCUUGGCUGCUGCUAGCUGCCCCCAUCCCCCCAUGGCUCUGAUCCCAGAUUACGGAGACCACCCACCUCCAGGCCCCGGGAGGGCUGAGCCACUAUUCCAUCAAAGAACCCCACGGGUGAGGUAGACUAGCAAUUGCCCUUCGAAGUAGAAGGCCCCUCCGGGAUCGGCACAGCCGCCAAUGCUCCUUGGUGAUACUUGGAAGGGAUUUGGACCCAGGGGCAACCCAGGCCCGUUCCCCUGAGAGCUGACCCGUUCGUUCUCCAUGGUUCCAGCGCCCCACAAAGGCAGCCUCUCCUACCAGUGACUGGGGACUGGACAUUCAGCCAUCCCUGAGGAAGGCAUUGGCCCCAAUCUUGGUCUCACAGGCACAGGCCUAUGUCUGUUCUGAUGUUUUUCUCUUUUUAAAGUCAACAAGGACCAAAACAGACUCUCCUGACCCUCACGCACAAGCCUGCGUUGAGCAGUCUGAUGGCAUUUUGCCAUCCUCAUCCACGCAGGUCCAUCGCUUCUGUCCUCCCUCCAGGACUGAAAUGGCCUACCUGUGGGGCAGGGUCCCCACCUCGUCCACUCCCCUGCAGAGUCCCUGCACAGUGGCUUCAAUGAGAGGCCCAUCGAAGGGGGAGCACCCCCCUAGCACUCUCUCCCAACUCUUCACUCUGAAAGGGAAAUCAAAGCACAGGUCCCCAGGACCCAUGACCCAUAGACACUCUGAAGCAGCAGUUUUCAAACCAGGUGCUGUGGAACCCCUGGGUUUCACAGAGCUUCGCCAGGGGCUGCUAAGGUGGGACGAUGGGGGUGGAGGCAAAGGCUAGGUCUCCAGCUCUCCCCCAUCCCCACUUCCACCAGGACAACUCUGCUUUUAUCUGUCUUGCCUCUUGAGGUUCUACCUUCAAACUUUUGAAGAAAAGCUUCUUCAAACCACCGUUCUGAGGUUUGAUCUUCAACCAGCAAGCACAGGUUCUCUUCUUGCUUUUCAUGUUGGAAUGGCUUUAGCAUUCCAGUACAAAGUGGCUUUGUAUUGGAACUUGGGCUGCAGACCCAGGCCCAAGCACUUGCUUACACACACAUGCACACACACACGUACACAUUUGACGGUUUUGUAGCUCACCCACCCUGAAGCUCUGGCCUGGGUUUGAUUUGGGCAGGGGCCUGGUGCUCAGUGAGGAUUGGUCUUACCUUGAUAUCAGCCCAUGCAGGGUGGGGGAUGGUGGAGCAAGGAAAUAGGCCCAGCCCCCACCCCAGGACUUGUGUCUGCACCCCACUUCCCUGAUUCAGGCCUAUGGGACACGUGAUGGGAGAAGGAGGAACUAGACUUAGGUUCCUCUUUACAUACAGCCAGAUGGAUGGACAUCCAGGUUCUUACAAAAAUGUUGAGGGGGGAUGUUACGAUAGAAGUCCCUCCGUGAGGACAUGGUCCCUCCAGAGACCUUUAAAGCAGCCAGUUUCCCUUGAGCAAUUCUAAUAGGCUUCCACUCCCACAUCUGUGGACAAGCUAGUGUGUGGACAACAGGAAGAUCCCUGAAGAGAUGCUGGUCCUCCACCCACAGUCUCCCACAGUCUCUGCCAACCUGCCCCUCUGGCCGGGUCCCCCACCAGGCUAACUGAGGGGUGGCACAUUGGUGAGACCUGGACCAGCCCUUGACACAGAAUCCUGCCUGGGCCCCCCACUGAGGGCAUUCUAGGUGAAAAUGCGAGGCUCAGGGCACAGCAGACCAUGUGGCAUGGGAGAAAGUGUUCUGUGUUCAGUCCGAGUAUGCCUUUGGGAACCCCACUGACCUCAGUUUCCCCAUGUGUAAGAUGGGGCUUGUGCCAGACUCUGCCCACCUCACAGCUUACUGCAAGGAGAGGUCAUGGAGCGGGGUAUGAUAGGUAGUGUCCUAUGAGAGAUGGGAGCCGCACAAACUUGGGGUGUGGUCAUGGCCUGCACUGCAGAUCAGCAGAGCACUUGGGGGAAUGAGUAUGGGAUGUGCCAUCUUUCCGGGGCAUCUCUGCUCAGUGUUAAGGUCUAGCCACAGAUGCUAUGGGAGACCUGCCUCUUCCUACCCAAUGGGAGUCAGCAUUCAGCCUGGCACAGUGACUGUGGAUCCUGGACGCAGGGAGUGAUAGGUGGCUGGGACAGGUCUCCAGGUCUGUAGCCCUUCUGUUAAGUGAUUAUUUUGUGACACCCUCUUUCCUGGGCCACCUGCCAGGUUUAUCUGUUGUACUGUGGCAUUCCUUAUUAUGUCAGAUAAGUUAUUACAGUUUAUUCAACUCUAACAGGACAAAUGAACAAGAGAACCAUAAAUAGGAGACCAUUAAAGGUCUUUUGUGACAGA